CAUGCAGUCGACGAGAAGUUUCUUCGGAAAUGAGUAAAGUGGCGCACGGGUGAGUAACGCGUAGAUAACCUGUCCAGGUGCUCGGGAUAGCCCCCCGAAAGGGGGAUUAAUACCGGAUACGUUGAUUAUUUUAUAAGGAUAAUCAAGAAAGGUGGCCUCUAUUUAUAAGCUAUCGCACAUGGAGGGGUCUGCGUACCAUUAGCUUGUUGGUGGGGUAAUGGCCUACCAAGGCGACGAUGGUUAGCGGGUCUGAGAGGAUGAUCCGUCACACUGGCACUGAAACACGGGCCAGACUCCUACGGGAGGCAGCAGUGAGGAAUAUUGCGCAAUGGGGGCAACCCUGACGCAGCGACGCCGCGUGGGUGAGGAAGGCUUUCGGGUCGUAAAACCCUGUCAGAUGGGAAGAAAUGCUUAUAGGUUAAUAUCCUGUAAGUUUGACGGUACCAUCAAAGGAAGCACCGGCUAACUCCGUGCCAGCAGCCGCGGUAAUACGGAGGGUGCAAGCGUUGUUCGGAAUCACUGGGCGUAAAGGGCGCGUAGGCGGCUUGGCAAGUCAGAUGUGAAAGCCCACGGCUUAACCGUGGAAGUGCAUUUGAAACUGCCUGGCUUGAGUAUCAGAGGGGAAGGUGGAAUUCCCGGUGUAGAGGUGAAAUUCGUAGAUAUCGGGAGGAAUACCGGUGGCGACGGCGACUUUCUGGCUGAAUACUGACGCUGAGGCGCGAAAGCGUGGGAGCAAACAGGAUUAGAUACCCUGGUAGUCCACGCCGUAAACGAUGUCAACAUGCAGUCGCAUGCAGUCGCAUGCAGUCGCAUGCAGUCGCAUGCAGUCGUUGA
rnacentral:rRNA from 1 species